GACGAACGCUGGCGGCGUGCUUAACACAUGCAAGUCGAGCGGUAAGGCCCUUUCGGGGGUACACGAGCGGCGAACGGGUGAGUAACGCGUGGGUGACCUGCCCUCAGCUCUGGGAUAAGCCUGGGAAACCGGGUCUAAUACCGGAUAUGACUCCAUGACGCAUGUUGUGGGGUGGAAAGCCUUGUGCGGCUGAGGAUGGGCCCGCGGCCUAUCAGCUUGUUGGUGGGGUGAUGGCCUACCAAGGCGACGACGGGUAGCCGGCCUGAGAGGGCGACCGGCCACACUGGGACUGAGACACGGCCCAGACUCCUACGGGAGGCAGCAGGUGGGGAAUCUUGCGCAAUGGGCGAAAGCCUGACGCAGCGACGCCGCGUGAGGGAUGACGGCC
rnacentral:rRNA from 1 species